rnacentral:lncRNA from 1 species
AUAUAGCGGGAGAAAAAGAAAAAUACGCUCUCGCGAAUUCGAUUUAUUGUUAUUUCCAUUCUCCGCGUAGACGGAAAAUAAGAACGAAUAGGAGGGGAUAUAAUAUAAGAGCAACGGGGGGCGUUGCCCUACUAUGUACGCUCGAUUAUGCCACAUUACGGGUCAUUAUGCAACGCGAACAUUGAUGCAAUCUAAUCCCAAGCUACGAACCGAUCCCUGCGAAAUCUCGAAUUACACGUUUUAUAUGUCGAUCACCGAUUGCCGCCGACCAUUCUUCGCCUCGAGACACUUUACUUCGAGUUUAGUCGAACGAGAAUCGAACGUAUCGCGACUGAUUGAGAAACGAGGCAACGAGGGAGAGCGAGAAAGAGACACAUGCAUUACGUUCAUUUCUUCGUUUAUGAGAACGGAACGGAAUUUAACGCGUUGCGAUUAAAUACCAAUUAAAAACCCUCGAUUAUAUCACCAAACGUAUUCUUUGCUCUAAUUAAAGACCACUGUUAUCGAUCAUUGUAAUAUUUGUAUCGUUUUUUCGAAACGUUUACAUUUACAUUAUAUUCGUUUUGGUUAUUUCGUAAUGGUCAUAGCCCAGUCGUAUCUAAUGGAAAUAGGGAGAGAGAGAGAGAGAGAGAUCAGGGAUCUUAGAAAUUCCUCGGGGACGAUAUAAUUUCCGAAGCACGCGUAAAGGCACGAAUGCGAGGGAGGAAACACGUUUAUCGAUAUUCGUAGACAAAGAAUUAGAAAGAGAGAGGCGGGCUCGACGGUGUGACUCAGCAAAGUACGAGGGUGACGUAACGCCAUUAACUAUGCUAGGAUACCAAGCUAGGGAAGAAGAGGGCCAACUGAGAAAGGGAGAGGACAAGAGAACGAAAUCGAAAAGGAACAAAGGAACGAUAUCGAAACUGUUUAUAUUGAAUCGAGGCAUCUUUUCGUCGAGAAAAGAAAAAAAGAAAAAAGAGAAAAAUAAGAAAAAUGUCAGGUUCGUUAUAAUAAAAAUUUAUCCUGUUUAUUCUACUCGCGUGGCUGUGGAAAUGAAUCUAAUUGACAGGGAAAAGGGAGACGAAAGACAAGAGGAAAA